CCGUCUUGGGGAGUAGUCGACCACUGCACAGUCAGUGGGGCAAUCAUCAACAUAGUUGAAGCAAAAUCUUCAUGGUGAUUGCAAGCCUGCCAUUAGGUGCUCUGGGCUUGACGAGACCAACGACAAUCGCACGAACCGGGGUGGGGCGUGUGUGUUGUCGUGGUUGAAUCAUA
rnacentral:sRNA from 2 species